UUAUGGUGGGCACUCUAAGGAGACUGCCGGUGACAAACCGGAGGAAGGUGGGGAUGACGUCAAGUCAUCAUGGCCCUUACGGCCUGGGCUACACACGUGCUACAAUGGUCGGUACAGAGGGUUGCCAAGCCGCGAGGUGGAGCUAAUCCCACAAAACCGAUCGUAGUCCGGAUCGCAGUCUGCAACUCGACUGCGUGAAGUCGGAAUCGCUAGUAAUCGCGAAUCAGAAUGUCGCGGUGAAUACGUUCCCGGGCCUUGUACACACCGCCCGUCACACCAUGGGAGUGGGUUGCACCAGAAGUAGCUAGUCUAACCUUCGGGGGGACGGUUACCACGGUGUGAUUCAUGACUGGGGUGAAGUCGUAACAAGGUAGCCGUAGGGGAACCUGCGGCUGGAUCACC
rnacentral:rRNA from 1 species